CCCUUAGAUGUUCUGGGCUGCACGCGCGCUACACUGAUGCGCUCAACGAGUUUACGACCUUGCCCGGAAGGGUUGGGUAAUCUUUUUAAAACGCAUCGUGAUGGGGAUAGAUUAUUGCAAUUAUUAAUCUUUAACGAGGAAUUCCUAGUAAGCGCGAGUCAUCAGCUCGUGCUGAUUACGUCCCUGCCCUUUGUACACACCGCCCGUCGCUACUGCCAACUGAGAUGGGUCCUGAAUUGUUAGGAACGCCCGUCAAGGGGCCUACCCGGUCCCUAGUGCGGUGACGAGAAGAACUGUAAAUGGCAUAUCUUGUAGGGAGUAAAAGUCGUAACA
rnacentral:rRNA from 1 species